rnacentral:rRNA from 1 species
GAUGAACGCUGGCGGCGUGCCUAAUACAUGCAAGUCGAGCGAACGGACGAGAAGCUUGCUUUUCUGAUGUUAGCGGCGGACGGGUGAGUAACACGUGGAUAACCUGCCUAUAAGACUGGGAUAACUUCGGGAAACCGGAGCUAAUACCGGAUAAUAUUUUGAACCGCAUGGUUCAAAAGUGAAAGACGGUCUUGCUGUCACUUAUAGAUGGAUCCGCGCUGCAUUAGCUAGUUGGUAAGGUAACGGCUUACCAAGGCAACGAUGCAUAGCCGACCUGAGAGGGUGAUCGGCCACACUGGAACUGAGACACGGUCCAGACUCCUACGGGAGGCAGCAGUAGGGAAUCUUCCGCAAUGGGCGAAAGCCUGACGGAGCAACGCCGCGUGAGUGAUGAAGGUCUUCGGAUCGUAAAACUCUGUUAUUAGGGAAGAACAUAUGUGUAAGUAACUGUGCUCAUCUUGACGGUACCUAAUCAGAAAGCCACGGCUAACUACGUG